ACAAGCUGUUGGAUUGCGUACCAAUUAUAAUCAGCACAUGAAUGUCACAAAGUCUCUAGUUGUUGAACAAAAAAAUGGAUUGAAUUUUAAGCUCUUAGGUUUUAGGAUGGGAUGGUCCUGCUACACUAUAUAUAUACAUAUAUAUAUAUGAAGGACACACCAAUUCCUCUUACUGAUAUUGCCUUACAUUAUUCUUCUGUUGAUAUUGUUUCUUUGGCAGGCAGUGACACUGUUGAAAUUGUAAGACCAUUUCCUCUCUUUCUAUUUCUUUACUCUUGCUCUUCUUUGUCUGCAUGUUGAGGUAUUGUUGGCUUUUAUAUUUGAAGAUUUUGAGAGUAGGGAAAACUCUUUUUUUCAUCUUAUCACAUCAAUGAUUAG
rnacentral:lncRNA from 1 species